GGUACAGUACUUUAAUUAAAAGGUUAAGUUUGCGUCUUAAGAUUGGGGUAUUAAUUUGCGUGUCCUCCUGUACUA
rnacentral:tRNA from 1 species